CCAAUGGAUGCGAUGGAUCCGAUGGAUGCGAUGGAUCCAAAGGAUCCGAUGGAUAUCUAUUUAUCCAUUGGAUCCUUUGGAUCCAUCCGAUCCAUUGGAUCCUUUGGAUCCAUCCGAUCCAUUGGAU
rnacentral:miRNA from 1 species